CAAGGUAAGCGGAUGAUCGCCUCGCAAAUGCGGGGAGGAAAGUCCGGACAUUCAGCCCCGCAAAAUGCGGGGCAACGGCAGCGGGUAACACCCGUCUGGGGCAACCCAAGAAGUGCGAACAGAGACGAGUCCUGACUUUAGGUCAGGGGUGAAACGGCUAAAUCUUUGUCGGAAUGCAAGGUCGUGUCUUAUCUUUUUACUAGUAAAGAUAAGAAGAACCGCUUGACCCCGAUAGCAAUAUCUGGGCUAGAUAGAUGAUCAUCCCCCACUACUUUUUGUGGAUAUAUAAUAAAUAUUUUUACUAUUUAAAAAGAGUUUAUAAAUUUAUUAUUUUUAUUUACAAAAAGUGGUGGGGGACAGAAUCCGGCUUAUAGCUUGCCUUGAUAU
rnacentral:RNase_P_RNA from 2 species